CAAAGGGUAGUUUAAUUAAAAUACAGGUUUUGGAGACCUAGGUUAGGUAUUUCCUUCCUUUGA
rnacentral:tRNA from 1 species